rnacentral:rRNA from 1 species
GUGGGGAAUAUUGGACAAUGGGCGAAAGCCUGAUCCAGCCAUGCCGCGUGUGUGAAGAAGGUCUUCGGAUUGUAAAGCACUUUAAGUUGGGAGGAAGGGCAGUAAGUUAAUACCUUGCUGUUUUGACGUUACCGACAGAAUAAGCACCGGCUAACUUCGUGCCAGCAGCCGCGGUAAUACGAAGGGUGCAAGCGUUAAUCGGAAUUACUGGGCGUAAAGCGCGCGUAGGUGGUUUUGUAAGUUGGAGGUGAAAUCCCCGGGCUCAACCUGGGAACUGCCUCCAAAACUGCAGGACUAGAGUACGGUAGAGGGUAGUGGAAUUUCCUGUGUAGCGGUGAAAUGCGUAGAUAUAGGAAGGAACACCAGUGGCGAAGGCGACUACCUGGACUGAUACUGACACUGAGGUGCGAAAGCGUGGGGAGCAAACAGGAUUAGAAACCCCUGUAGUCC